rnacentral:misc_RNA from 1 species
UCCGAGUUGACCCCGGCAGUCUCCUGCGAGUCCCCGCCAUUACGCGCUGGCAACACAGGACAAGGGUUGCGCUCGUUGCGGGACUUAACCCAACAUCUCACGGCACGAGCUGACGACAGCCAUGCAGCACCUGUGCAGGCUCCCGAAGGAGCCCCGUGUUUCCACGGGUUUACCCUGCAUGUCAAGCCCUGGUAAGGUUCUUCGCGUUGCGUCGAAUUAAGCCACAUGCUCCACCGCUUGAGCGGGCCCCCGCCAAUUCCUUUGAGUUCUAGUCUUGCGACCGUAGUUCCCAGGCGGAUCACUUAAUGCGUUAGCUGCGGCACCGAGGCAAAGCCCCAACACCUAGUGAUCAUCGUUUAUGGCUAAGACUAC